CCCCUACAGUAUAUCAGUAGGGCGUCUCUUAUGAUUGAGGCCAUGGUUCUACCCCCAACCUGUGUUCUACCUGGUUAUGAGCCAACUAUAAGCCCAAUGAAGCAGAGAUGCCCAAGAUUACUUUAAAAAAAGCGAAUCUAAGAAAAUCUUAUCUGAAAUUGAAAAGCAACACUGCAGUCUCAGCAUUUUGCAUGUGUUCCAAAUGAUUUUAGAUCAAGUGUCCGAAAGAGGUUGGUUGUAGAGAUCGCCUGCCAAGCCCUGAACAAUUUACAGUAAAUGUGAGAUCCUAUAAAAUUACUUUACAUUGUCUAAGAUUUCAACUAUGUUAGACCUGCCAUUAUGUAUGCUAUAUAUCAAACACUAACCAGGACACUAAUAAGCCUUUGGUCUUAUACCCACCUUUCCACUAGUCUGAUUCCAGAUCUGUAUUUGCUUUACCCAAAUUCUCAGAAUAUUGUUGUCAAUGACAUCUGUUUGUGUUUCUGUAUCUGAUCCUAGACCAGUCUAGUGGAGAAGCACGCAGAGCAUAUCGUGGAUCUGGAGUCUGCUCUGAGACAGAGAGACAACUCGCUACAGAAGCUCAACACCCAGCUACACAGCAAGGACAUCCAAUACCUGCAGCUACAUAGCCCAGACAAUCACAUGCUGGACUGUCCUGCGCUGACCCUGCAGAGCUCUCGUAGUCUAGACACUUUGUCAGACCUGAAGCUGCAGCGUCUGGAGGUGGAGCUAGAGAGGGCGCGGCAUGAGGCCGAGCGGGCGUGUCAGAGGGAAGAGGAAGUGAAGGCCGAGUGUGAGAGACUGCAGGAGGAGCUGAGACAGAUCCAGAACAACCACAUAGGGAGGGAAAUGACUUCGCCGUGUGAGCAGUGUGAUGUGGAGUGGAUAAAGAAGGUGGGAGAUGAGCAGUAAGUGACGACAACAACCAUUUACUGUGACACCAUAAGACCUGCAACUUUUUAGCUGUCGGAUAGAGAGACGGAGAGGUUGGGAGGGACAGAAGGAGAGAAAGAGGUAUGAGAUAAAUAGUUUGAGAGAGAGAGAGAAACAGAGAGAGUGAGAGGCAGAGAGAGAGACAUACAGAGGGCGAGAGAGAGGAGAAGAUAGAGAGAGAAUAGUAGCAGACAGUAAUGUUUCACUAGGAUCUGUACCUGACUCAUAUCUGAAGGUCUAGACCAGGGAUGGGCAACUUUGAUGGGGACGGGGGCCGCAGUGGCUCGUGGGUCUGCCUACAAC
rnacentral:lncRNA from 1 species